rnacentral:lncRNA from 1 species
GGGACCAACUCAUGCAUACAAUGCUCAAUCUCCAUUGUUCUACCCUUUUCCCAAACAUACAAUUACACAAUCAUUCCCAAAUGUCAAACCCAACUCACAUCUCUCACCAAAAGAUCCUAAGAACUUUAACUCCUUCUCUUUGAAAUCUACAAGGGAUUUUUCACAACCUCAAAACAUUACUUAGCUCCUAACAACUUUGCUAGCCCCCUUUUUCUUUCUUUUUCUUUUCUUUUCAUAUUUUAUUUCUUUUUUUUUUUUUUUUUUUUUUUAGAUGGGGGCCAAGACUUUUCAUAACUUGAGCUAGAGGUUUUUCUACUUAUCCCAAUAAGACAAUUCACUUAAACACAAAGAGUCAUUUCUUUUCCUUUUUCAUUGCUCCCAAAUCAUAAUCACAACUCUCACCCCCCACCUAUAGCUAGACAAUAGAGUGCCCAAUCUAGCAAGAAUGAAGAUCAAGCAUUGUCGUUCCCGAUACUCUCAACAUUAUGCACAUGUAAGACUUUCCGAAGAAGGCCUCACUCAUCAAACAAUGAAAGCUUAAAAGGAGGGAAAGGUUUUGGGAGUGGUCUACCACUAGAGUUUGUCAAAAUAAGAUUGGCAUAAAGGAUGUGACAACUCAAGUGUGUAUAGCCAUGACUCAGUACACAAGGGACCAUGAGCAAGAAGCAUUAAGUUCGUUCAGUUCAAAUAAGGUUGUAGUUGGCUUCAAAGACUGAGUUUCAGCAAUCAACAAGUUUCAGGAAGAGUCUUCAAGGCUCGAAGCAUACAAGUGUUUUUGAGAGGUGCAUAAGCUAUUCAGGUGCAAAGUAAUGUUCUUUACAAGGCAUUUCAAAUCAUUGCUCCCAAUGCAAGUAAAUGCAACCUAUAUGCUCUAGACUCUCCUAGAAAUGCCAAUGAUGCAAACUAAAUGAAUUUUUUUUUUUAUGCAAAUAUAUAUGUAUAAUGCAAUGCAUGAGACUCAAAAUCAUCAAAGCAAACGUGAUCAAAUACUUGGUACCUCCCCCAAACUUAAAUGACACAGUCUCUGUGUUGUCAAGGAGAGAGAGAUACCCAAAAAGAGAAAACUAAUAUGCAAAAACGAAAUGGUAUAUACAAGGGAAAGUAGUGGGUUACCUUCUAUGGAGAAUGAGUAGAGGGAGAUGCUCCCUCCUCGUCGUCCUCAGGUGGUAACUCUUCAAGGUGCUCAUCAGUAAGAGUGCCCAUCUCUUCAAUGUAGAAGGCUUGCCCGAACACAGUUGGUUUCUUCAUUUUCUCCUUGAUGUCAAAGUGGAGAACAUGCCCUUUACCCAAAUGGAGAUCAAUCGUGCCCUCUUUCACCUUAACAAUUGCUCCUGCUGUAGCUAAGAAUGGCCUUCCAAGAAUCAAUGGGUCUUGAGCCUCCUCACCCAUCUCAAGCACCACAAAAUCUGUAGGUAUCUCAUACCUUCCAAUCUUCACAGGUAGGUCCUCUAAGAUGCCCACAGGGUACUUCACUGAACGAUCAGCUAACACCAGAGAGAGUUUACACUUCUUGUACUGAGUGAAUCCAAGCUUCUUUGCAACAGACAAAGGCAUCACGCUGACACUAGCUCCCAAAUCGCAGAGACAUUUCUCAAAUACCAUAGGUCCAAGAGCACAAGGUAGUGUGAAGCAUCCUGGAUCCUCUAACUUCUCUGGAACAUCAAGCCUUUGGAUGAUGGCACUGCACUCAUGGGUAAGAAUCAUCAUGCUUUCCAUUUCCUUCUUCUUUGCAGCUACAACAUCUUUCAGGAACUUGUUGUAUUGAGGAAUCAACAUGAAAGCAUCGAUGAUGGGCAUUGCAACCUGAGCUUCACUCAUUUGCUUGUCAAACAAAGCCUUGUACUUCUCUAGCAGCUGCCUCUUGAAUCUACCAGGGAAUGGUAGUUUGGGUUCAUAGGGAGGAGGAACAAAAGAAUUCUCACUUGCUGGAGCAAGAACUUCACCAUCUUUCACUGUUUUCUUCUCUUCCCCAACCUUUCCUUUACCCUUGGCUUCCACAAUCUUCUCCAAGAUUUCAUCAUUGAUUUUCUCAUCAACAAUCACCACUUCAUCAUCUAAGUUGAUGGCCACCUCCUCACCUAGUUUCUCAGCAUCCCUGGUGAGGGUUGUAGGAGGUAACUGCUUACCACUCCUAAGGGUGAUAGCUUUGGCCUCCUUGGGGUUUUGGUCAGAUUUUCCAGGUAGAGAUCCUUGCUGGCGAGUCUGGUGAGUGUUCAUGGAAGCAAACUGAUUCUCUAAAUUCUUGACUGUAGAAGCAAGAUGUGAGAACUUGUUGUUGAGCUCAUUGUAGCUCCCAUCAAUCUUGGAAUGAAGGUUCUUCAACUCAUAACCAACAUGCUUCUCACUUCUAGUCUGAGACUCCAAGAUUUGUUUCAGUAAGGUAUCAGUGCGGCUCUCUUGAGGAGUAGAGGAACCAGACGAGGGGUUUUGCUGAGGCUGAUAGCUGCCUUGCUGAUUGUUCCGAGGCUGAUAACCACUCUGCUGGUUGUUGGAAUAGGACUUCUGUUGGUAGUUGUUGUACUGAAAGUUGGGCUCCUUUUUGUACCAGCUACCAUUGUUGUUAAUGAAACACAACUCCUCUUGACCUUCCAAACCCUCAACCUCAUGGACAACAGGUGGUGUAUCUUGGCUUGGGUUACCAACAAAGUGCAGCUGCUCUUGUGUGGCUUUAUCAGCAAGGAGGAUGUCUAUCUUAUCCUGUAGAGCUUUCAACUCCUUCCUCGUCUGCUUAUCAUCUGUUCGACUGCUUCUGUCGUGGUCUCCACUGUAGACUGCAUCACUCUUUACCAUGUUGUCAACCAGCUCCUCUGCAUCUUCCUCAGUUCUCCCCAAGAAGAACCCAUUGCUAGCUGUAUCCAGUCUGGCCCUGUACUUAGGAAGAGCACCACGGUAGAAUGUGCUCAGCAAGCUCUCCUUAGAGAAACCAUGGUGUGGGCAUUGAGCUUGGUAGCCCUUGAAUCUCUCCCAGGCUUCACUGAAUCCUUCCAAGUUCUUCUGUUGGAAACUGGAGAUCUCAUUUCUCAGCUUAGCAGUUCUUGAGGAUGAGAAGAAUUUCUCCAAGAAUGCUCUCUUGCACUCAUCCCAAGUGGUGAUAGAGUCGCUGGGUAGAGACUUCUCCCACUGACGUGCCUUAUCCCCCAAAGAGAAAGGGAAUAGCUUGAGCUUUAAGGCAUCUUCGGACACACCAUUGGUUUUUGACAACCCACAGUAGCUGUCGAACCUAUCCAAGUGAUCAAAUGGGUCCUCCAGAGCCAAGCCAUGAUACUUGUUGUUCUCGAUCACGUUGAGGAGUCCUGACUUGACCUCAAAGUUGUUGGCUGCCACAGCUGGUGCUCGGAUUCCGAAUCUGUGACCAUGUAUGUUGGGGCGGUCGUAAGUGCCAAUGGGUCGAGCUGCCCGCGGUUGGUGUUCUGCCCCUUGCGGUGGAUCUGCCAUAUCAAUAUCCAAGUGGGCUUGGUGUUCUUCUUCUCUUCUAGCUCUAGCACACUCCCUCUCAAAAGCUCUGAUGUCUGCUACUAUUGGAACUAGGUUUGAUGGACCCCUGCUCCUCAAGUUCAUACACCUGAAAGUGAAAGGUAGGUGAAGAAGAAGAAUCAGUAACAAAACAAAAUUAAAAUGACUUAGUCUCAAGCAAGUGACUAAAUCUCAAUGUUUAAAUCUACUCAGAAUUUGGCAACGGCGCCAAUUUGAUGUUAGGAGUUUUCAAGGCUCCUAAGACAAAUGUUGUAGUAUAGUGAUUGUCGAACCAGUUCUGAGGGAUAUCAAAGCACUGAGAAUGCAAGUACUCACUUAAUCUAAGUGCAACCAAUGAUUUAGAUGGGUUUUAAGCUAUGACUAAAACUAGAAAGCAAUAACAGAAUGAUACUUUCUUGACUAAGGGAAAAGAGAACUCAUGGGCAUAGGGAUUAGACCUUGGGUGAUCAAGUAUCGAACUAAGGAUGGCAAAUGAUCAAUCAAACUAUCAACCUUAAGCCUAGACACAAUUCUAAGCAAGCUCUAUGUCUAGAUGAAUGCUCAUUUGCUAACAUAUCUCAAACAUCAAAUGUCUUUGGUUGAAUAAUAUGAAAGCAAUCAUUACUAACAAGUCUAUUAGCUAUCUUAGCAUCUUUAACAACAAAUGUCUUUGGCAAAGUAUACUAAAAGCCUAGGAGAGUUGUCUCAGGCAUUUCAUCAAACACCUUUUGGGUGGGAAAUGCCUAUUGAUCAACUUUUGAGUGGCCAACUCAGAAGAUGCAUUAUGAAUACUCUACUAGCAAGGAACAAGAAUGAUCUACACUAAAACAUCCUAGAACUAACCUAAUCACCCUUGAUCUCCCUAACCCAUGAAUUCAAAAGGUGAUUACUCACUAAUCUCCAUGAUUCCUCUUAAACCCAUGGUGGAUUUCAGAUUAAUCAUGUAGAGAAAUAGAUAAGAAAUUAACAAGAACACAAGAUGAGAGCAAUCAAAUCUGAAUCAAAACAAGUUUUUACUAAUCGUUCUCCAGAAAAAAGAUCUGGUCUCUAAUGGCUUACAAAAGUACUUAACUUAGGUUUUUGGCAAUGUAAAACGUGCAUAAUGAAAUGACCAAAAGGCCCUUAGAAAAACAUGAGUUCGACAGGCAAAUAGACGCGGAGCGACCUCGGCAUGUCGCUCCGACAAGUCGCUCCGGCCUUCGGGAGCGACCUCAGUGGGUCGCUCUGAGAGGUCGCUCCGGGCUUCGUUUUGUGUCGUCUCGCAAUGGAAACGCGAGCGACCUCGGAGCGUCGCUCUGGCAAGUCGCUCUGGGAGGGGUGUCUCGCGAUAGAAACGCGAGCGACCUCUCUACGUCGCUCUGGCCAGGUCGCUCCGAGAUGUGUGUCACAGCGACUUCAUGUAGUCGCUCCGGGAAGUCGCUCCAGGCAGUGCUCGUCCAAAGAUCACUCUAAUCACCUCCCUUGAGCUCCAAAUGCACCCAAAUGUCUCCAGGAACUCCAUGUGGUACUCCAAUACCUAAUAGAGACAUAUGUAUGCAAAAUGCAACCUAGACAUGGCUAAAUCCUAAUCUAUAUGAUGAAAAUGCACAUGAAUAAAUGGAUAAAACAAUGUAAAUAUGCAAGAUAUCAACUCCCCCAAACUUAUUCUUUUACUUGUCCUCAAGUGAACUUUCUAGAACUCAUAGGGAGAGAGGUUUGAAGGUGGGAGCUCAUAGCCAAAAGAAACACACAAAGCACUCAAAUCAACAUUUAAAUUCAGCAUUAGUACACCCUCUCUUAUUAUACUCUAGCUUCUCUAGGCCUAUCUGAACUCUUUUCAUCCCUACACUCAUCAUCAUGCAUUCACACAUGCAAAUCAGCCAACUCUCAAGUUCAUUAAGCAUAGCAUCAAGUGAAUUCUUGCAAAUGGUCAAUUGGUCCAAAUCAUUUGGUUGAGUAAGGGAAGGCUUUUAUUCAAAUGAUUCAAGAGGUUCAAAACAUAUGAUCUUUAAGGUGGUUUACUCUCGAAACAAGUAGCCUUGACAUUGCACAUAAUAUAUCUAAGAAAGGGAUCAACUCAUGCAUACAAUGCUCAAUCUCCAUUGUUCUACCCUUUUCCCAAACAUACAAUUACACAAUCAUUCCCAAAUGUCAAACCCAACUCACAUCUCUCACCAAAAGAUCCUAAGAACUUUAACUCCUUCUCUUUGAAAUCUACAAGGGAUUUUCCACAACCUCAAAACAUUACUUAGCUCCUAACAACUUUGCUAGCCCC